rnacentral:misc_RNA from 2 species
ACACCUCAACUCUCAUGGUCUGCCAUGAUGAGCUUGGAUUUUGGGGGUCUUGCUGGCCUACAGUCAGCUCCCCUCAAAUGAAUUAGCUUUCCAGUGUUUGGUGGCAUCACGGGUGUGAUAAAUAUCUACACUUGUGGUUUUCUGCCAGGUAACCUUCAGUGAUGGGGGUUCGCUGGGGCUCAUAAACGUCUCUCCUUCAGCGAAGACAGCUUUGUGAAU